rnacentral:rRNA from 1 species
AAGCGGUACGCGAGCUGGGUUUAGAACGUCGUGAGACAGUUCGGUCCCUAUCCGCCGUGGGCGCAGGAGUUUUGAGAGGAGCUGUCCCUAGUACGAGAGGACCGGGAUGGACCGACCACUGGUGCUCCAGUUGUCUCGCCAGAGGCACGGCUGGGUAGCUACGUCGGGAUCGGAUAACCGCUGAAAGCAUCUAAGCGGGAAGCGCGCCUCAAGAUGAGAUCUCCCGGGAGCUAGACUCCCCUAAAGGAACCAUCAAGACUAGGUGGUUGAUAGGCUGGGUGUGUAAGCGUGGCAACACGUUGAGCUAACCAGUACUAAUAGGUCGAGGACUUAACCUU